rnacentral:rRNA from 1 species
CCAUCGCGACCCCAGGUCAGGCGGGACUACCCGCUGAGU